rnacentral:rRNA from 1 species
CCUACGGGAGGCUGCAGUGGGGAAUUUUGGACAAUGGGGGCAACCCUGAUCCAGCCAUGCCGCGUGCGGGAAGAAGGCCUUCGGGUUGUAAACCGCUUUUGUCAGGGAAGAAAUCUUCCGAGCUAAUACCUUGGGAGGAUGACGGUACCUGAAGAAUAAGCACCGGCUAACUACGUGCCAGCAGCCGCGGUAAUACGUAGGGUGCAAGCUGGAAUCGGAAUUACUGGGCGUGGAUCGUGCGGACAGGGGUGAAAUCCCCGGGCGUAACCUGGGAACUGCACUUGUGACUGUACGGCUGGAGUACGGCAGAGGGGGAUGGAAUUCCGCGUGUAGCAGUGAAAUGCGUAGAUAUGCGGAGGAACACCGAUGGCGAAGGCAGUCCCCUGGGCCUGUACUGACGCUCAUGCACGAAAGCGUGGGGAGCAAACAGGAUUAGAUACCCUAGUAGUC